rnacentral:rRNA from 1 species
CAGAGCUUGCUCUGCUGAUCAGUGGCGAACGGGUGAGUAACACGUGAGUAACCUGCCCUUGACUCUGGGAUAAGCGCUGGAAACGGCGUCUAAUACCGGAUACGACCUUCCCCGGCAUCGGGUGGGGGUGGAAAGAUUUUUUGGUCAAGGAUGGACUCGCGGCCUAUCAGCUUGUUGGUGAGGUAAUGGCUCACCAAGGCGACGACGGGUAGCCGGCCUGAGAGGGUGACCGGCCACACUGGGACUGAGACACGGCCCAGACUCCUACGGGAGGCAGCAGUGGGGAAUAUUGCACAAUGGGCGAAAGCCUGAUGCAGCAACGCCGCGUGAGGGAUGACGGCCUUCGGGUUGUAAACCUCUUUUGGCAGGGAAGAAGCGAAAGUGACGGUACCUGCAGAAAAAGCACCGGCUAACUACGUGCCAGCAGCCGCGGUAAUACGUAGGGUGCGAGCGUUGUCCGGAAUUAUUGGGCGUAAAGAGCUCGUAGGCGGUUUGUCGCGUCUGCUGUGAAAUCCCGAGGCUCAACCUCGGGCCUGCAGUGGGUACGGGCAAACUAGAGUGCAGUAGGGGAGACUGGAAUUCCUGGUGUAGCGGUGGAAUGCGCAGAUAUCAGGAGGAACACCGAUGGCGAAGGCAGGUCUCUGGGCUGUAACUGACGCUGAGGAGCGAAAGCGUGGGGAGCGAACAGGAUUAGAUACCCUGGUAGUCCACGCCGUAAACGUUGGGCGCUAGAUGU